rnacentral:rRNA from 1 species
CGGUAAAAGAUGAGCAUGCGUCCCAUUAGCUAGUUGGUAAGGUAACGGCUUACCAAGGCUACGAUGGGUAGGGGUCCUGAGAGGGAGAUCCCCCACACUGGUACUGAGACACGGACCAGACUCCUACGGGAGGCAGCAGUGAGGAAUAUUGGACAAUGGGCGCAAGCCUGAUCCAGCCAUGCCGCGUGCAGGAUGACGGUCCUAUGGAUUGUAAACUGCUUUUAUACGAGAAGAAACACUACUUCGUGAAGUAGCUUGACGGUAUCGUAAGAAUAAGGAUCGGCUAACUCCGUGCCAGCAGCCGCGGUAAUACGGAGGAUCCAAGCGUUAUCCGGAAUCAUUGGGUUUAAAGGGUCCGUAGGCGGUUUAAUAAGUCAGUGGUGAAAGCCCAUCGCUCAACGGUGGAACGGCCAUUGAUACUGUUAGACUUGAAUUAUUAGGAAGUAACUAGAAUAUGUAGUGUAGCGGUGAAAUGCUUAGAGAUUACAUGGAAUACCAAUUGCGAAGGCAGGUUACUACUAAUGGAUUGACGCUGAUGGACGAAAGCGUGGGUAGCGAACAGGAUUAGAUACCCUGGUAGUCCACGCCGUAAACGAUGGAUACUAGCUGUUGGAAGCAAUUUCAGUGGCUAAGCGAAAGUGAUAAGUAUCCCACCUGGGGAGUACGUUCGCAAGAAUGAAACUCAAAGGAAUUGACGGGGGCCCGCACAAGCGGUGGAGCAUGUGGU